UCUAAAAAUUGUGUGUUAAUCAUACCGGUCCAAGAUUUAUUUACUUCUGUCACACUUGCACCGGGAAUACACACAAAAGAAAAUUGAG